UAUGAUUAUGACCAGGGAUUAUUCGGUAUAAUCAUGACCGUAACAUUACAAAUGAUGUGGUAAAAGUCAUCUUUGGCCAGUUGUGCAUUGAAGGACUGUUGAUUGGCAUGAUUAUGACCAGAGAUUAUUCGGUAUAAUCAUGACCAUUGGUGAAAACACGAAUAUCCUUGGCCGUAGUGCAUGGAUAAUUCGUGGUCGUGAUACUAUUGAGCUGAGUCUCAGCGUUAUUGAUUUUACAGUUGUAUGUCUUAGGCUUGUAUUACAAAGAUGGAC
rnacentral:lncRNA from 1 species